GCCGCAACGUGGAGUUACAUUUUUAUUUUUUUGAGAGGUGCACGUCAGGCUACAGCGUAGGGUCGGUAUCUCCACGUACCUACAGCUACCCCAUGGC